UGUUACCGUCGGCGUAAAGUAUGGAUUCCUGCUGGGCAACUACGUCUUAACAGAUAAAAGUCGAAGUGUUUGGCGGUUCAAGAUACCGGCCCCGUGGGACUUGACGGUUAAUCUGAUGAUCCGCAUUAUCCCCUACUUAUUCUUAAGCUGGUGUAUGGUCGUCGUAAGUUUACGUUGUAAGACUGUAGGCCAGAGCCAACUUGGUUGGGUGAAGUCAGAUCGUUAUGCCGCCAUGAAUAAGGCUUAGUUGAGUCACAUUUAUUAGAUUUCGGAAUGCUUGUAGAAAUACGAGCAGGAAGGAGGAAUGGGAAGUAAGAAGAAAAUAGUUCGUUCUUCUGAAUGGGGAUCAUUUUGAGUGUACAAAUCGCCC
rnacentral:rRNA from 1 species